rnacentral:rRNA from 2 species
GAVGAUAGCAGUCUGAGGAGCAACGCCGCGUGAGUGAAGAAGGCUUUCGGGUCGUAAAACUCUGUUGUUGGAGAAGAAUGGUCGGCAGAGUAACUGUUGUCGGCGUGACGGUAUCCAACCAGAAAGCCACGGCUAACUACGUGCCAGCAGCCGCGGUAAUACGUAGGUGGCAAGCGUUAUCCGGAUUUAUUGGGCGUAAAGCGAGCGCAGGCGGUUUUUUAAGUCUGAUGUGAAAGCCCUCGGCUUAACCGAGGAAGUGCAUCGGAAACUGGGAAACUUGAGUGCAGAAGAGGACAGUGGAACUCCAUGUGUAGCGGUGAAAUGCGUAUAUAUAUGGAAGAACACCAGUGGCGAAGGCGGCUGUCUGGUCUGUAACUGACGCUGAGGCUCGAAAGCAUGGGUAGCGAACAGGAUUAGAUACCCUGGUAGUCCAUGCCGUAAACGAUGAAUGCUAGGUGUUGGAGGGUUUCCGCCCUUCAGUGCCGCAGCUAACGCAUUAAGCAUUCCGCCUGGGGAGUACGACCGCAAGGUUGAAACUCANAGGAAUUGACGGGGGCCCGCACAAGCGGUGGAGCAUGUGGUUUAAUUCGAAGCAACGCGAAGAACCUUACCANGUCUUGACAUCUUUUGAUCACCUGAGAGAUCAAGUUUCCCCUUCGGGGGCAAAAUGACACGUGGUGCAUGGUUGUCGUCAGCUCGUGUCGUGAGAUGUUGGGUCAACUCCCGCAACGAGCGCACCCGUUAUCACAAGCUU